GACAGAAAGAAAGUCACCUUUAUUUGAUGGAUAUAAACAAGCUGGCCAACACUCAAUAGUAAUAUUCUGAUACAGCACAUACAAUAGCAAACUGGGGCACUGAGGACAGCCUCCUAUAGUUUUUAUAAAACAAAACAUUACAGAGUAUCCAUGCUUUUUUUUUUCCCCAAACUUACUCAAUCUCACUUUCUUUUUUUUUUAAAUUUAGGGACUUUCUCUUUAUAAAGUUGUUGUUGUUUUUGUUCAGUUUUUUUUAAAUAGUUUUAUCUUGUGCAUUCACACAACAACAUACACGCACUCAUAAACAAAUAAAUUGCAGUUAUGCACGCACACAUCCCUCUUUUCUGAAUGCAUUUACACCAGCAACUCCAAGAACAUGCUGCACUCUCACAGAACUGCACAGGCUGUCUACUAAGGGGACACAGUAAGUGAGACACACAUCACUCUCAAACACAACAUCACACCGUCACAAUGCACGAUGCAGAUGCAAUUAAUGUAUGAGGAAUGAUGCUUUAUGGGAGAUUAGCUCACGUUCACACGAAUAAUCAUUCAGCAUGCUGGACACACAUUUAGUUUGCUCCUUGGUUUUUACUGUACACCUCAAAACAUUUACCUAUACAAAUAGUACAGUCUCAAACUGGCAUGUUCAGUGCACCGAAAAAAUAGAAAAAAUAAAGCUAACUUAAAUACAAAAAAAUGAAUAAUAAAAAAGUAAACAUAAUAUUUGUUCCGUUAAACAAAAGCGUUUCUGGCAUUGGUCACAGUGAUUUGUUUAAUCCAAAGUUUUCAGUGAUUUGCAGUAAAACAAAAACAACCUGUUUACAAGAAUACAGUGAAAAUGUAUGGUAGGCUUUUUUUUUUCUUUUUUCUGAAGGCUUUUGAAAAUUACUGGUGACUUUUCAAGUCUUUCUACACAUCUGUUUCUAGGCACCGAUGAAGCCUUGCCUUCUCAAAUCUGCCACGCGCAAUGUCAGAUUACUCUUGCGUCUAAGCUCAGGAAACCAGUCCCAGCCUCUAAGCCUUGGUGUCUCCGAAACCUUUUUUUGACGCAACAGUAGAGAAAUCGCUCUGCAUAGAGAACAGGAGAUUAUCCUUACAUCAUCGCUUUCAGUUGGCACAUUAUGUAAAAAUCGACAUGCAUGGGCACAAUUGAAAUGUCGUCUACCAUGUAAAUCAUAUGUUACUAUUUCAUGGUAGGAGAACUCCCUACUUCAAGUAUUCAGUAGAUAAGGACCUGAAAAUAGAGGAUUCAUACUUCAUCCCCCUCUCGGUGUAGUGAGAGGAUUGUUGCUCCUCUGUCUGUUUGCAUUGUCUUCCCUUUUGUUUUUUUUAAACAUCCAAGUCAGGAUUUAUCUUAACAUUUGUAAACACAAACAGCAAGGUUUCACACGGUCUGUUGGUUCUUGGUCAGUGGAUCAGAGCCGUAACGGUGGGAAGCAGACACAUAAAAGAUGAUGCACAGAUCACCUUGGAGUGAUGAGUAAAUGGAAAGACAUUUAUAUACAACAACCAACACUUGGCCAUAAAAGGGAGACACACAGGCACUAUGAGGGUUAGAGAGAGGAACUGGGGAUUGUAACAGUCUACUUCAUUUUUCCACUAUACUGUAACAAUUUGUGUGCGCGUGUGUUUUUUUUUUCUACUCGGUUAGCUGUCACAGUCACAUACAUCAUCACUUCGGCUUACGAGACAACAACAACGACAAACACACGAAGGAAAUGCAUCCAGACAGAGUCACUCAAACCUCCGGUUGGGUGAUAACUGUGAUAGUCCUCUCACAAGUGCAAGCUUCUGACUGCUGAGUUCAGCAGACAUAAUCUCAAUGCUACCUGUGCGAGCUGCAAAAUUAAAAAAAUAAAUAAAGUCGCUGUUCAAAGUCGUCACCACAGGCAAAGUGGUCUUCAACUGAGUUAUUUUUCACAUUAAGAAAGGAAUGUAAUAAUGUCACCUUUUCUAAACUUCUAGAUAGAUUUGGAUACACUUCUUUGUUUCCCAUAAACUGUCCUAAAGCUCUUAAUUUUUUUUUAUUUGGGCUGUCCUGUGUUUUCAGACAGGGAAUGUUAAAUUUGCUGCUGAGGGGGGUUUUCAUAUACAGUACAAAUCAGAGGAAAAUCACACCGCUCAACGCUCUAAAUAAGACAUUUCUCAGACCUCCAGCCAGAUAGAAAAAUAACCAUGAAGAAAAAAGAAACAUAUAUAUAUUAUAUAUAUAUAUAUUUAUAUAGUAUCUUGUCAGUUUGAAAUGAUUUUCUGACCACAUAUAGACACACUCUAUAGAUUUCUCUCUAUAUGUAUAAUAUAUUCAUAUCUAUCAUAUGUGUACAGUUUUUACGAGGCACAGGCCACCUUGUUGAGAAGGAGAAAACAAGUCACUAUGUUUGGGGAGGUCACACAAACUACUGCUGGAAGAGUACAAGGGAGAGGGGAGCAGGAGCAUACUCUAGGUCAGACACUGGUGUGUCAGUGGCUCCAAUAGACCUGCAGGAUAAACAUCUAUUGGACACUGCCUUCUCUUUAUAGUCUAGAAUGAUGCUUAUAGUAGCAGUAUUUGCUGAGGGACCUAGCCUCUGUUUGUGGAUCACAAACCCCAUUUGUCAAAUCACAAAGAACUCCUUUACAGUUGUUUAUGAAGCCCAUUGUGGGAUCAAGUCCCUUUACUGUAAAAGGACUAAAAGAUGCUCUUUACCAGGUCUUCUCACACCGUUUAGUUUGAGCACCAGCAGAAGCACCAUUAGUAAAAAUUCCUGCAACACAGAGGAGGUGCAUAGGUGCAUAGUCUCAGAAAUAAUCUAAAUAAUCUGAUCAAUAUAUUCUGACCACUCCCUUGGCUGCUGUGAUUGGACAAUUAAAUCAUUUUGACUUGAUUUAAGUAAGGAUGGGAAUGCAUUCACUCUAUGUUUACAUCUGCAUAGUUUAUUUCUUUUUUUGACUACUUUUGAUUAAAAUGAGGUAAGAUGAAGAUAAAAUCCAGUGCAGCCACAGCCUUAAGGCUAAAACUAGCCAGAGAACUGGAAGGCCCUGCUUGCACAGCCACAGAGACCUCUUGAUGUUGCAGGCAAGGCUCAAGCCUGUCAUCAGUCAGAUCAAAGCUCUUCGUUUUACCAACAAGAAAUGACAAAAGAAACCCUAAAACCACUUAAUCUGGACUGUGUGGAACAUGCUAGUAAAGGGACACCACGUCACGUUUAGAAAUGCUGAAGAAACACAUGGCAGGUAAAAAGGUUAAAA
ensembl:lncRNA